UCCUACGGGAGGCAGCAGUGGGGAAUAUUGGACAAUGGGCGAAAGCCUGAUCCAGCCAUGCCGCGUGUGCGAAGAAGGUCUUCGGAUUGUAAAGCACUUUAAGUUGGGAGGAAGGGCAUUAACCUGAUACGUUAGUGUUUUGACGUUACCAACAGAAUAAGCACCGGCUAACUUCGUGCCAGCAGCCGCGGUAA
rnacentral:rRNA from 1 species